rnacentral:SRP_RNA from 1 species
GCCGGGCGCAGUGGCGCGCGCCUGUAGUCCCAGCUACUCGGGAGGCUGAGGCAGGAGGAUCGCUUGAGCCCAGGAGUUCUGGGCUGUAGUGCGCUAUGCCAAUCGGGUGUCCGCACUAAGUUCGGCAUCAAUAUGGUGACCUCCCGGGAGCGGGGGACCACCAGGUUGCCUAAGGAGGGGUGAACCGGCCCAGGUCGGAAACGGAGCAGGUCAGAAAAACUGGACUUUAAAGUAAAGGCAGUAACAAGAGAUGAAGAAGGACAUUAUAUAAUAAUUACAGGGUCUCUC